rnacentral:rRNA from 1 species
AUUGAACGCUGGCGGCAUGCCUUACACAUGCAAGUCGAACGGCAGCACGGGUGCUUGCACCUGGUGGCGAGUGGCGAACGGGUGAGUAAUACAUCGGAACAUGUCCUGUAGUGGGGGAUAGCCCGGCGAAAGCCGGAUUAAUACCGCAUACGAUCUACGGAUGAAAGCGGGGGACCUUCGGGCCUCGCGCUAUAGGGUUGGCCGAUGUCUGAUUAGCUAGUUGGUGGGGUAAAGGCCUACCAAGGCGACGAUCAGUAGCUGGUCUGAGAGGACGACCAGCCACACUGGGACUGAGACACGGCCCAGACUCCUAAGGGAGGCAGCAGUGGGGAAUUUUGGACAAAGGGCGAAAGCCUGAUCCAGCAAUGCCGCGUGUGUGAAGAAGGCCUUCGGGUUGUAAAGCACUUUUGUCCGGAAAGAAAUCCUUGGCCCUAAUACGGUCGGGGGAUGACGGUACCGGAAGAAUAAGCACCGGCUAACUACGUG